GGGGAAUAUUGGACAAUCGACGAUAGUCUGAUCCAGCGACGCCGCGUGGAGGAAGAAGUCCUUAGGGAUUUAAACUCAUGAAGCUAACGAUUAAGACAGAAGGGGAACCUUCCGGGAGAAGGUAAUUAGUGAAAAGACCCGGCUAACUACGUGCCAGCAGCCGCGGUAAUACGUAGGGGGCGAGCGUUGCCCGGAAUUACUGGGCGUAAAGGGAACGUAGGUGGCUCUUAAAGUCAGGUGUGAAAAUAACGAAGCUUAACAGGUUAACGCUUGAAACUAAAGGGCUUGAGGGCAAUAGAGGGAGAUGGAAUUACCUGUGUAGGGGUGAAAUCCGCAGAUAUAGGUAAGAAGGCCGGUGGGGAAGCCGACCUCCUGGGUUGACUCUGACACUGAGGUUCGAAAGCUAGGGGAGCAAACC
rnacentral:rRNA from 1 species